CCUACGGGAGGCAGCAGUGAGGAAUAUUGGUCAAUGGCCGGAAGGCUGAACCAGCCAAGUCGCGUGAGGGACGACUGCCCUAUGGGUUGUAAACCUCUUUUAUCAGGGAAGAAUAAAUGCUACGUGUAGCAUGAUGCCUGUACCUUAUGAAUAAGCAUCGGUUAACUCCGUUCCAGCAGCCGCGGGAAUACGGAGGAUGCGAGCGUUAUACGGUGUUAAUGGGGUUAAGGGGUGUGGUGGCGGUUUUUUAAGUUAGUGGUUAAACGUCGGGGCUUCACCUUGAUUGGCCAUUAAUACUGUAAGACUCGAGUUAAGACGAGGUAGGCGGAAUAAGGUAAGUGGCGGUGAAAUGCUUAGAUAUAACUUAGAACUCCGAUAGCGAAGGCAGCUUACCAGACUGCGACUGACGCUGAAGCACGAGAGCGUGGGUAGCGAACAGGAUUAGAUACCCGAGUAGUC
rnacentral:rRNA from 1 species